UUAGAGUUUGAUCCUGGCUCAGGAUGAACGCUGGCGGCAUGCCUAAUACAUGCAAGUCGAACGAGAGACCUUCGGGUCUCUAGUGGCGAACGGGUGAGUAACACGUAGGGAACCUGCCCGUGCACCGGGAAUACGCUCUGGAAACGGAGAACAAAUCCCGAUGUACAGGAAGGAGGCAUCUUCUUUCUGUGAAACAUCCUCUAGGGGAUGGGGCGCGGAUGGACCUGCGGUGCAUUAGUUGGUUGGCGGGGUAAAGGCCCACCAAGACGAUGAUGCAUAGCCGGCCUGAGAGGGCGGACGGCCACAUUGGGACUGAGACACGGCCCAGACUCCUGCGGGAGGCAGCAGUAGGGAAUUUUCGUCAAUGGGCGCAAGCCUGAACGAGCGAUGCCGCGUGAGUGAAGAAGGCCUUCGGGUCGUAAAGCUCUGUUGCGGGGGAAAAAAGGCAGCAUCAGGAAAUGGGUGCUGACUGAUGGUGCCCCGCCAGAAAGUCACGGCUAACUACGUGCCAGCAGCCGCGGUAAUACGUAGGUGGCGAGCGUUAUCCGGAAUGAUUGGGCGUAAAGGGUGCGCAGGCGGUCCUGCAAGUCUGGAGUGAAACGCAUGAGCUCAACUCAUGCAUGGCUUUGGAAACUGGAGGACUGGAGAGCAGGAGAGGGUGGUGGAACUCCAUGUGUAGCGGUAAAAUGCGUAGAUAUAUGGAAGAACACCAGUGGCGAAGGCGGCCGCCUGGCCUGUUGCUGACGCUGAGGCACGAAAGCGUGGGGAGCAAAUAGGAUUAGAUACCCUGGUAGUCCACGCUGUAAACGAUGAGUGCUAGGUGUCGGGGAGGAAUCCUCGGUGCCGGAGCAAACGCAAUAAGCACUCCACCUGGGGAGUACGACCGCAAGGUUGAAACUCAAAGGAAUUGACGGGGGCCCGCACAAGCGGUGGAGCAUGUGGUUUAAUUCGAAGCAACGCGAAGAACCUUACCAAGGCUUGACAUCCUUUUGACGGAUAUAGAGAUAUAUCUUUUCUUCGGAACAGAAGUGACAGGUGGUGCGUGGUUGUCGUCAGCUCGUGUCGUGAGAUGUUGGGUUAAGUCCCGCAGCGAGCGCAACCCUUAUCUUCAGUAGCCAGCAUUUAGGAUGGGCACUCUGGAGAGACUGCCGUGGAUAACACGGAGGAAGGUGGGGAUGACGUCAAAUCAUCAUGCCCCUUAUGUCUUGGGCAACACACGUGCUACAAUGGCUGGAAACAAAGUGAAGCGAGACGGUGACGUUAAGCAAAGCACAAAAACCCAGUCCCAGUUCGGAUUGUAGUCUGCAACCCGACUACAUGAAGCUGGAAUCGCUAGUAAUCGCGAAUCAGAAUGUCGCGGUGAAUACGUUCCCGGGCCUUGCACACACCGCCCGUCA
rnacentral:rRNA from 1 species